rnacentral:rRNA from 1 species
AUUGAACGCUGGCGGCAGGCCUAACACAUGCAAGUCGAGCGAGCGGCGGACGGGUGAGUACUGUAUGGUGACCGCCCGAUAGAGGGGGAUAACAACGGGAAACGACAGCUAAAAACGCAUACUAUCGGAUAACCCAUGCGGGAUUAGCUAGUAGGUGAGGUAAUGGCUCACCUAGGCGACGAUCCCUAGCUGGUCUGAGAGGAUGAUCAGCCACACUGGGACUGAGACACGGCCCAGACUCCUACGGAGGCAGCAGUGGGGAAUAUUGCACAAUGGGCGCAAGCCUGAUGCAGCCAUGCCGCGUGUAUGAAGAAGGCCCUAGGGUUGUAAAGUUCUUUCAUUCGGGAGGCGUUACCUACAGAAGAAGCACCGGCUAACUCCGUGCCAGCAGCCGCGGUAAUUC